UUCCUGCUCGUGCCACCAGGCCCCGGGGCCGCGACGCGUCUCUCCAGCCCGGGAUCCGGGGAGCUGGGCUGUCCCCAGACCGACGGGACAGAGGCAUCUCCUCCACCUGAAAAGGAAAGAGGACCAGUUUGCAGGACUCCGAACUGGGCCCGCGAGAUCUCCACCUGCGCAAAACGAAAGGGCGGAUUCUCCUUGGACUCACGAGGCAACCGCUCCCCGAGGUGAGAACGGGGGACUCAUUCCUCCUGCACUGGGAGAAGACGAUUCUUUAGGAGGAGGACAGGGAAGCGAAUGCUACCCAGGAAGAAAGCUCAGAACAGCCCUCAGAAAACUGCAUGUUGACAGCACCCAGAGUCCUGGCUGGAAGAGGGAAGGGCACUCACAGAGCUGCUUCCCUGGAGCUGUGUCUCUCCCAACUGCCUUGAAGGAAUCUCUUGGGAAGGCAGCGACUUCUGGCCUCUGGGGACCUAAAGAAGCCAAGUGGCAAAGCGGUAUGAAAACUAAACCAAUUCUAGGUCCAGGUGUACAUCAAGGCAGUUUGUGGGGCACGUGGCAGGUCUGCUGAAACACAGUGCCUGCCCCUCGCCAACCUUCUCUCUCUGGCAGGAACCCCCUCCUUUGAGUUAAAAGUGUUGCAGACCCCAGGAAAUGCCUGAGAGACCUUGUGCCUUAACAGAGAGAGAUGUUAUGUGCACCGGAUCCCCAACAUGCUUUGCAAAUGUUUAAGGGAGAAGACAGACAUGGGCCAGAUACAACACAAACAAGGCUCUCAGGCCACCAGGCUGAGUGAAAGUGCUAUACAGAGGCUUCUUGGCCACCUGGGGCCCCUUUGAGCCUAUGAGGGAUCCUGGGAGGGUAGUGGAGUGAGGACAGCAGAGGAGCACCAAAGACAAACUCAGCCCAUUUCACAAUUUUAUCGUGAGCCAGCCCUAUCUUAGCCCUCUCAUUUUGAAGAAAAGCCAAAUUUGUAUUUAAAAAAAUACUUACGCCUGAUCCAUUCCCUAUUGUGAAAUAAGCACAUUUAUUACACAGAAGGAAACCUGAUGUCUCUCAGACCUUGAGCAGACUAUUUACAACAUUUGGGCUACAAGGCAAGGUGACCUUCAGACCACGAAGUGGCGAUGGCUUGCAUAGGGCAAGGCAGGGUCUCUGAGAGAACGUGAGACACACAGGCCACCACCAUGUUUUAGGGGACCUGGGAUUUUGCAACAGGAAGAAAUAACAGGUUAGAAAAAUGCAUGCUUUAAAACAUUUAAAAUUUAAAAAUAGAAUGCUUUCACACACACACACACUGCAACACAAUAUAAUUGUGCCAUUUACUAGUAAUGAUAUAAACAUAUCUGAAUGCCCCUUUGAACACAAAGCACAGCUAAAUGCCCCACCUCCAGCAGACAGACCCUGAAGCAACACACCCCCAAAAAAACAAGUGACAGAUAUAUAUGAUAGAUAGAUAGAUAGAUAGAUAGAUACUAUUUUUUUUGAGACAGAGUCUGGUUCUGUCUCAGAAGGGUCAGGUUGCCCAGGCUGGAAUGCAGUGGCACGAUCUUGGCUCUCUGCAACCUCCACCUCCCUGGCUCAAGCUAGCCUCCUACCUCAGCCUCCCAAGUAGCUGGGACGACAGGUGCAUGUCAGCAUACCCAGCUAAUUUUGGUAGAAAUGGAGUCUCACUAUGUGGCUCAGGCUGCUCACUACGAGCUCAGAAGAGCUCAUGCAAUCCACCCACCUCGGCCUCCCAAAGUAUUGGGAUUACAGACAUGAGUCACCAUACCCGGCCAUAAGUGACAGAUAUUGACAUAAGCCCUGCAAUAGGAAUCUGAGACCCAGGAUUGGACAGGUCAACUAGCAAUGCUUCUAAAUACAAGUGAUCUGGCAAGCUGGCAAAAUGUUUGAGUUUCAUUCUUUGAGGUCAAAGUUUCAUUCUUGAUUUGGAUCAAAGAGGAAGGAGAAAAAGGCACAAACUGAACCAUCAACUCUGUCACUGAAAAGUGGUCCCCUGGAUCUUAGUGCUUUGCCACCUUCUUGCCACCCCUAUAGUAAAAUGCUUUUUUAUUCUUUCUUUAAAAAUUUCUGUUAUUAUUAUUUUAUUUAAAUGGGGUCUCGCUAUGUUGUCCAGGCUGGUCUCCAACUUCUGGCCUCAAGCAAUCUUCCCACUCCAGCCUCCCAAAGUGCUGGGAUUACAGACAUAAGCCACCAUGUCCAGCCAUGAUUUUUAAAGGCAGGCAUACUUUAUACUUUUUGUACACACUUAUAGCUCUGAUUCUUUUUUUAAACAUAUUUAUUUAUUUUUGUUGAGAUGAGGUCUCGCUAUGUUGCCCAGGCUGGUCUUGAACUCCUGGGCCCAAGUGAUCCUCCUGCUUCGGCCUCCCAAGUAGCUGAGAUUACAGGUGAGAGCCACCAUGCCUGGUUCAGGCUCUGAUUCUUAUGUCAGUGAAUGCCCAGUAAAUUCUUGUUGGCUUGAACUGAAUUAUCAAGAAGGUGCUAUCAAGAAUUCUUUGAGCCGGGCACGGUUGCUGACGCCUGUAAUCCCAGCACUUUGGGAGGCUGAGGCAGGCAGAUCACUUGAGGCCAGGAGUUCGAGACUAGCCUGGCCAACAUGGUGAAACCUGGUCUCUACUAAAAAAUAAAAAAAUUAGCCAGGCAUAGAGAUGCACACCUGCAGUCCCAGUUACUCAGGUGGCUGAGGCAAGAGAAUUGAUUGAACCCAGGAGGCGGAGGUUGCAGUGAGCCAAGAUCACACCACUGCACUCCUGGGUGACAGAGUGAGACCCUGUUUC